CCCAAAUGUGAUGUGAGUGCUAUUGGUCUAUAACUUGAGGGGUCUGAUGGAUCUUUCCCAGGUUUUACUAUUGGUACUAUGAUUGAUUGUUUCCAUGCUAUUGGUAUUUUGCCUGUUUCCCAAAUCUGGUUAAAUAAUCUUAAAACUACAGUAAGUGCACUAUCUUCCAAGUGAGCUAACAUGCUAUAACAGAUGUUGUCCUUCCCUGGAGAUGAUUGUCUUGUCUUUGAGAUAGCCCUCCUUAACUCAAAUAAGCUAAAUGGUACAUCUAAAUCAUCAGUUGUUGUGCUCUUCUGUAUAUUGACACCUGGGUUCAUGGCAAGAGUGUUAUCUCUGCACUUUCUGGCUUCGACUAAUAAAUUAUCUGAACUGUGUACUUUAA